GUUCAGAUUGCAGGCUGCAACUCGCCUGCAUGAAGUCGGAAUUGCUAGUAAUCGCAGAUCAGCAUGCUGCGGUGAAUACGUUCCCGGGCCUUGUACACACCGCCCGUCACACCAUGGGAGUCGGUAACACCCGAAGUCGGUAGCCUAACCGUAAGGAGGGCGCCGCCGAAGGUGGGAUUGAUGACUGGGGUGAAGUCGUAACAAGGUACC
rnacentral:rRNA from 1 species